rnacentral:rRNA from 1 species
AUUGAACGCUGGCGGCAGGCUUAACACAUGCAAGUCGAACGAGUGGCGGACGGGUGAGUAAUGCUUGGGAAUCUCGCUUAUGGAGGGGGAUAACUACGGGAAACUGUAGCUAAUACCGCGUACCAUAGGAUGAGCCCAAGUGGUAUUAGGUAGUUGGUGAGGUAAAGGCUCACCAAGCCGACGAUCUCUAGCUGGUCUGAGAGGAUGACCAGCCAACCGGGGACUGGGCCACGGCCCAGACUCCUACGGGAGGAAGCAGUGGGGAAUAUUGCGCAAUGGGGGCAACCUGACGCAGCCAUGCCGCGUGAAUGAAGAAGGCCUUCGGGUUGUAAAGUUCUUUCGGUAGCGAGGCGUUAACUACAGAAGAAGCACCGGCUAACUCCGUGCCAGCCGCCGCGGUAAUAC